GACGAACGCUGGCGGCGUGCUUAACACAUGCAAGUCGAACGGAAAGGCCCUGCUUUUGUGGGGUGCUCGAGUGGCGAACGGGUGAGUAACACGUGAGUAACCUGCCCUUGACUUUGGGAUAACUUCAGGAAACUGGGGCUAAUACCGGAUAGGAGCUCCUGCUCCAUGGGGGGGGUUGGAAAGUUUCGGCGGUUGGGGAUGGACUCGCGGCUUACCAGCUUGUUGGUGGGGUAGUGGCUUACCAAGGCUUUGACGGGUAGCCGGCCUGGGAGGGUGGCCGGCGACAUUGGGACUGAGAGACGCAGCAGACGGCUACGGUCGGCAGCAGGCGGAAGUAUUGCACAGCGAGGCCGAGCGUGAUAUAGAGGCGUCGCGUGCGGGAUGACCGCUUUUUGGGUGUAAACCGCUUUCGCCUGAGACGAAGCGUGAGUGACGGUACCGGAUAAAGAAGCACCGGCUAACUACGUG
rnacentral:rRNA from 1 species